rnacentral:misc_RNA from 1 species
AGCAGCCGCGGUAAUUCCAGCUCCAAUAGCGUAUAUUAAAGUUGCUGCAGUUAAAAGCUCGUAGUUGAAUUUCGGGACUAAUAUGUCGGUCGUGCCUCGGUACGUACUGGCUUAUUGGUUUCUCCUUUCUGAAGAACCAUGAUGUCAUUUAUUUGGUGUCGUGGGGAAUCAGGACUGUUACUUUGAAAAAUUAGAGUGUUUAAAGCAGGCUUACGCUUGAACACAUUAGCAUGGAAUAAUGAAAUAGGACGUUUGAUUCUAUUUUGUUGGUUUCUAGGAUCGACGUAAUGAUUAAUAGGGAUAGUUGGGGGCAUUAGUAUUCAAUUGUCAGAGGUGAAAUUCUUGGAUUUAUUGAAGACUAACUACUGCGAAAGCAUUUGCCAAGGAUGUUUUCAUUAAUCAAGAACGAAAGUUAGGGAUCGAAGACGAUCAGAUACCGUCGUAGUCUUAACCAUAAACUAUGCCGACUAGGGAUCGGAUGAUGUUAAUUUUUAAUGUACUCUAUUCGGCGUCCUUACGG